GCUCGUCCAAUCACAGCGGCGUGUUAAGUCAGGUGACCCACGGUGAUCCUAAGCGUGAACUUUCCCCUAGUCGUCAUAGUGGGUUACCUAAUCUUGUCCACCCUUCAAACGUCUUUUCGAACAAGACUUGAGCGGCCGACCGGGGUGUGGGGGAUCACAAUCGGCCACAUUUGUGGGAAACAAAUGUCAGGUUGAAGAUCAGAUGGGGAUCCAAAUGAAUGCAAUUGGGGCACCCUUGGUUCUGUGCUCUGGAUUCAGGCAGUGGGUGGGCAUGCUUGCUAUACUCUAUGGCUUUUUAGCAAAACAAUCUCAGAAUAAGUAAAAGACAAGUGAAAACA